AGAUAGUCGGUCGCAGGCGGCGGCGGACGCGAUGUGCGCACGGCACCAUAUUCACCGCAUCGGCGACGAGAAGAGGCCGUCCCCUAUCUUGAAGAAGCACUCGGCGGGACACACGCAAGCGGGACCGCCGGCACCGCUGCUUCCGUACCCCCAAAGCGCUGCAGGUAGUCUGGGCGCAAGUUUCUCCGAAUUCUCAAAGACGACAGGCUUUUUUUUUUUUAGAAACGUGUGGUGAAGAUACCGAAAUUCACAUCGUGGUGCACCUAAAUAACACUGCCUCAAUGCUUCCAAGCAACUUGGAGACACCGACAAAACCACUCUGAGGGUGAGUGCUGAAGAUUUGCACCUGAAUCCUGGAAUAUAG